GACGAACGCUGGCGGCGUGCCUAACACAUGCAAGUCGAACGGAAAGUCCCUGCUCUUGUGGGGUGUUCUAGUUGCAAACGUGUGAGUAACACGUUAGUACCCUUCCCUUGACUUUGGGAUAACUUCAGGACACCGGGCCUAAUACCGGAUAGGAGCCUCUGCUCCAUGGUGCGGGUUGGAAAGUUUCGGCGAUUGGGAAUGGACCCGCGGCUUAUCAGUUUGUUGGUGGGGUACUGGCUUACCAAGGCUUUGACGGGUAGCCGGCCUGAGCGGGUGACCGGCCACGUUGGGACUGGGAUGCGGCUCUGACUCCUACGGGACGCAGCAGUGGGGAAUCUUGCUAGGCGUCUGAAGCCUGCUGCAGCAACGCCGCGUGCGGGAUGACGGCCUUCGUGUUGUAGACCGCUAUCACGUGUGACGAAGCGUGAGUGACGGUAAUCGGUAAAGGAGCACCGGCUAGCUACGUG
rnacentral:rRNA from 1 species